rnacentral:rRNA from 1 species
AUUGAACGCUGGCGGCAGGCCUAACACAUGCAAGUCGAGCGGAUCGGCGGACGGGUACGUAAUGCCUAUGACUCUGCCUGUUAGUGGUGGAUAGCGUUCGGUACCGGGCGCUAAUACCACAUACUCUCACAAGAAGCUAGGUCGGAUUAGCUUGUUGGUGGGGUAAAGGCACACCAAGGCGACGAUCCGUAACUGGUCUGAGAGGAUGAGCAGUCACACUGGAACUGAGACACGGUCCAGACUCCUACGGGAGGCAGUAGUGGGGAAUAUUGGACAAUGGGCGAAAGCCUGAUCCAGCCAUGCCGCGUGUGUGAAGAAGGUCUUCGGAUUGUAAAGCACUUUAAGUGGGGAGGCGUUACCAGCAGAAGAAGCACCGGCUAACUCCGUGCCAGCAGCCGCGGUAAUAC